UACGGAAGGCAGCAGUGGGGAAUAUUGCACAAUGGGCGCAGGCCUGAUGCAGCCAUGCCGCGUGUAUGAAGAAGGCCUUCGGGUUGUAAAGUACUUUCAGUCGUGAGGAAGGUGUUAAGGUUAAUAACCUUAGCAAUUGACGUUAGCGACAGAAGAAGCACCGGCUAACUCCGUGCCAGCAGCCGCGGUAAUACGGAGGGUGCGAGCGUUAAUCGGAAUUACUGGGCGUAAAGGGCACGCAGGCGGUUAAUUAAGUUGGAUGUGAAAUCCCCGGGCUUAACCUGGGAAUGGCAUUCAAGACUGGUUAGCUAGAGUCUUGUAGAGGGGGUAGAAUUCCAUGUGUAGCGGUGAAAUGCGUAGAGAUGUGGAGGAAUACCGGUGGCGAAGGCGGCCCCUGGACAAAGACUGACGCUCAUGUGCGAAAGCGUGGGGAGCAAAC
rnacentral:rRNA from 1 species